rnacentral:rRNA from 1 species
CCCUUAGAUGUUCUGGGCCGCACGCGUGCUACACUGAGUGGAUCAGCGGGUCAGGUUGCGCGAAAGCGUUUCCUAAUCUUUAAAUCCGCUCGUGAUGGGGAUUGACGGUUGCAAUUUUCUGUCAUGAACGAGGAAUUCCUUGUAAUCGCGGUUGAUCAGCUCGCGUUGAAUACGUCCCUGCCCUUUGUACACACCGCCCGUCGCUCCUACCGAUGAAUCGUCCGGUGAAGUUCACAGAGUGGCGGUUCGUGGAGUUGCUCGCGAAGUGAAAUGGACCUCACGAUUUAGAGGAAGGAGAAGUCGUAACA